CCGUAAUUUAUCGACAGAUAUGAACCUUCGGUAUUGUGACCGAUGACUUAACCUAAAUUUUGGGUAUUCUCGCUCAUUUGCAAUUUCAGCAGUUCCCUUUCCCCAAAUUUCUCUCUUCUCUUCCCCCGAAAUUGAAAUCUAAGGGCAAGUGAGGGUACCCCCAAAUUUAUCCUCCUUCGUUUGGUUACCUCCCAAAUUUAUCUUCCUUCGUUUGGUUUCCUUUUGUUUGCGCAUCAUCGGUCCCUUCCAUCUUCUGUUGGCAAAACGGUGUUAUGAAGAGCGCGAGCAUUUACGGUGGUUGAGCGGGUUCGUGCAAUCGAGGAGGGUGCCUCCCUUUUAAGUUCAUAAUCAUUCGCAGAGGGAAACACCUUCGAUGGCGACGGCGGCGGAGCCAAAAGCGAAGACCUACUGGUGCCACGAAUGCGAUAUGAGUGUGUCCCUCACGCUCCUUCCCUCGCCUCUCCAUUGUCCCCACUGCCAUACCUCCUUCCUCGAACUGAUGGACUCUCCCUUCUCCCAAAACGAAGCCGAAUCACCCCUCUUUGACGUUUUCCAGGACGCGCUCUUACUCCUCUCCUCCAAGCCCCUCUCCGCCAAACCACGCCCUCUCCCCUCUGUCAACGUCACACCCUCACUCCUUUCCGCGCUCGACCCCAACGGCGUCGUUUUCUCCGCUAUGUGCAAAGACCAAAUUUUCCUCGACGCUGAGGCCAAACAGUUGCCCUGCAAACACCUCUUCCUGCCGAUUGCAUCAAGUCGUGGCUCAACCUCCACGUGUCGUGCCCGUUGUGCAGGCUACCAUCUCUACAAAUAAACUCUUUUUCAUCUUUCCGCAUUUUUACUUUGCUUUCUCUCUCACUACCAAAAAAUUGACCCAAUUCCACAAAGGGAUAAGCUUGGUUCUAGAGUGAUAUAAAUUGCUCCGAAUUGGGUUUUCUCUAAGAAAAAAAAAGAUGAUAUUGAUGGGUGUGUUCCCUUUUGAGCAAAGUUAGUGAGUUGUAGAGGCGGUGGCAGGGAAUCGAAGCAUGAGCGCAGAGGAAGAUGACUUAGAGGGGAAAAGAUUGAAACUUUGCAAAGAUAAGGUGUUCAAUUGUGGUGUGAAGAAUUUCCAGCGCGAUCUGGUGGCUGGGGCGUUGAUGGGCGGUGUGGGAGUCGCAGAUUUAAGGCUUAGGCUUCAAUUUCUUCUGUGGCCCUCAAUUUCUCUCUCAAGGUCGUGGCUGUGGCAGGGGUGGAUAUCGUGGAAGGGGUUGUGGCUUUAGAUCAAAUAGACCAAUCCAAGCAGCUGAGGGCAUUAGGGCAUUUUCUUCUUACAUUUUUAUGUAGAUGUUUAGUUUUGAGAUUGCUGCCACAUAAGGCACCCUUUGUUUUAGACCUUAGUCAGUUGUACUUCUAUUUUUGGCCCUGAAUCUCAUUCUUUAAUUUUUAUUUUAUAAAGAAGUGUUUAAAUUCAUGCA